AAUCUUCCACAAUGGGCGAAAGCCUGAUGGAGCAAUGCCGCGUGAAUGAAGAAGGUCCUCGGAUCGUAAAGUUCUGUUAUUAGGGAAGAACAAGUAUCGUUCGAAUAGGGCGGUACCUUGACGGUACCUAACCAGAAAGCCACGGCUAACUACGUGCCAGCAGCCGCGGUAAUACGUAGGUGGCAAGCGUUAUCCGGAAUUAUUGGGCGUAAAGCGCGCGCAGGCGGUUUCUUAAGUCUGAUGUGAAAGCCCACGGCUCAACCGUGGAGGGUCAUUGGAAACUGGGAAGCUUGAGUGCAGAAGAGGAGAGUGGAAUUCCAUGUGUAGCGGUGAAAUGCGUAGAGAUAUGGAGGAACACCAGUGGCGAAGGCGGCUCUCUGGUCUGCAACUGACGCUGAGGCGCGAAAGCGUGGGGAGCGAACA
rnacentral:rRNA from 1 species